UACGGAGGGUGCGAGCGUUGUCCGGAAUCACUGGGCGUAAAGCGCACGUAGGCGGUUCGUUAAGUCGGAUGUGAAAGCCCUCGGCUCAACUGAGGAAGUGCACCCGAAACUGGCGAGCUUGAGUACGAAAGAGGAUCGCGGAAUUCCCGGUGUAGAGGUGAAAUGCGUAGAGAUCCGGAGGAACACCAAAGGCGAAGGCAGUGUCCUGGGGAGUACCUGACGCUCAGGUGCGAAAGCCAGGGGAGCGAACGGG
rnacentral:rRNA from 1 species